rnacentral:lncRNA from 1 species
UAGACUCUUCACCAGAAUCGUAUCGUAGAUUUCAAACACCCCCAAGGCCUGGCCUGGCCUGGGGAUAGGUAAUUUAGGGUUUAUAGAUUCUUCUUCUUGUUCUUCAUGUCUUGCAAUUCCAGAGUCUGUUUUGAUUUCAAGAUUCGUUGAUUAUUAUUAGUCCCGCUGAUUCGGCUUGGGUUUUGAUUAGAGAUUGUGAGGCUGAUUUAACAGAAAAAUUUCCAUAUACCGAAAUCUUUUACUUCAAUGUCGUUGGCAGGCCCCGAAGAUCUCUAUCUCUCUUGUAUUUUUCUCCAAUAACGUAUGUUCAUAUUUUUUUAUAAUAUCAUCACAAAGAUUGGUGUCAAGUCAUUCUGUUAUUAGUCAGCUCAGCUGAACAAAGUUUAGGCAAUAACAUGCUACCAAUACAAGUCAGUCGGUUGUUUUACCAUUUCCAAAGAUGAAUCUCUUGAUGUUUGUAUCGGUUCGUGCUUUACUAUAAGGCGUUCCGUCUAACUCUGUUGAGCGCUUUUAGUAGUAAAAAUGUUGAGAAGUUGGUUUUGAAGGUGCGUGUGAAAGAGUAAUUGUUUUAUUGUGAUAUCCCACUAGGUUUAUAUGUAAUCUGUGGCAGUGGCAGGAACUGGAGAAGGAAGAACUUCCCCCUCCUCAUAUGACUCGGGUUUCCGAAGCUGAGAUAAAAAAGGGCUUAGAAGGUGGAGAGGGAUGCUACGGGUACAAUGAGUAGAAAAAGGAUGGAAUUUCUGGAUAUGGACUAAAUCUGGUUCUCUGUACUAAUGUCAUGAGUAGAUAUUGUUUGUGUUAUCAUUGUGUUUUGCCAGAAUCCAAAUGCUCUUUUCUUUUUAUCUAACGCCCCAGCCACAUCAGCCCUUUAACACUCCAAACUCCAAACGAGUGGCGUAACAGGUGUGAGAGGAGAGGUGGGUGUGUGGACCCCCUAUGGGCCAAUGAAAUGUUGAGGGACGCCAAAUCACACUGUAUCGCAUUGUUUUUGUCAUAAAAUCAGCUUCGUUUGCGUU